rnacentral:tmRNA from 1 species
CUAUAUGCAAAUUGUCGGGUUCGCCCGACUAUGGCGAUAAAUUGUGCCGUGUAAUAGACGCAGCGGACGCGGGGGCAGUACCCGCCGGCUCCACCAGAUGCCCCAUAGCCUUUCAGGCCAUGGGUUGCCUGACGGGGCCGAACCAGGAUCGACGUGUGUUAAAAGACGGUAUUUUUGCCCGGCCCGAGUAAGCCGUGAAACUGUUCAACAACCAUAAGUGCCAACGAUAACGAAGCACUCGCUCUCGCAGCAUAAUUAAGGCCUCACGGCUGAGAUUAUUCUAAAAGAACGCGGUCGAACCCACCGGGCAACAGAAGGGUCACAGCGGCUUCCGGGAGAGCCGGGC